rnacentral:lncRNA from 1 species
AUGGAAUGUAACAGCAGCCAGGGCCUGCUUUCAGAUCUCACCACCGUGGGACCCGGGGCAUCACGUAUUCAGCAGGGAAUCCUGAUCAGGGAUGCCAUCAACCAAGAGGUCUUUUCCAAUCAAGAAACAGAGUGGCCCCCAUUGAACUCAUAUUGUCAUAAUGCAGCAGACCUGGUGCCAGGAACCUGUGUUUGCGCCAAAUAUGUUUUCACACCCAGAAGUGAAGGCCCAGGUCCUCUGAGAAUAUGAAGCACAGCGCCCACAGCAGUGUCAUUACACACUGACCUUCCCCUGCAGGUGACCUGAUACCAUUUUUAAGCUCUUGUGUUGAAGUAUAUCAAAUAUACAGGAAAAUGCAUAUAUCAUAAGGGUACAACUUAAUUUCUAGAAAAUGAACAUAUCCCUGUAAACGACAGAUCAAGAAACAGAACAUUACCCAUAAGUUAGGCCCCCCUCCUGCUUCCUUCCAGUCAAUAACCCCAAAGGCUAAUCCCUAUCCUGACUUCUUUCACUGUAGAUUAGGGUCGCUUUUUUUUAUGCUUUCUAUAAAUGGAAUUUUCAAUAUGUAUACUUUUGCAUCCGGCUUCUUUUGCUCAAUAUUAUUUUAUGAGCUUCAGAUCUGAAGUAUUUUUGUCAAAAAAUCAUGAGUGUCAUUAUUUCUGUUUAAUGAACUAAAAGUCAGAAUCCCUGCUCUUCCCAGUGAUUUCUGACACAUUGAACCAGUUCACAGGGACCCAGGCCAUUGCAAAGUUGGACCGCGAGAGUGUUUAUAAUCUCACUCAGGUACAAGAAAAUGGUGGAUGAAAAACAGCCUUCCAGAUAAGUUUGGGAUAAUUUAAGUACCCAGAAAUGUUCAUCUUGGCCCCUAUUCUGUCCAAUAAUAUUGGACUGUGGCCCUGUUCCAAUAGCUCCCGAAUGGGAAACUCUAUUCUAGUAAGUUCUCAAACUUUAAUGCGCAUCAGAAUCACCUGGAGGGCUUGUUAACACACAGACUGCUGGGCCCCACCCCCAGAAUUUCUUAUUUCAGUAGAUCUGGGAUGGGGGCUUGGAAAUUUGUAUUUUUAACACAUUCCCAGGUGACGUUCAUGCUUCUGGUUCUGGGACCACACUUUGAGAACCACUGAUCUAUUCAACUUGUCUUCACGCUGUGGAGCAAGGGGGAGGGUAUGUUGGUGAAGCUCGGGAACUCUCAACCCCACUUCAACCAGAGCAGUUCCCCUCUUAUUUUAUAUUUUGGGGUUCCAAGUAA